rnacentral:misc_RNA from 1 species
AUGGAUUAUUUCGAUUAUAUUCAUAUAAUUUGGAUCAAAAUGGUACUUGGUUGGUUGCAUAUCAAGAUAGUGAGAAUAAGUGCCUUCCCAAAGGCUUAUGCGGCUUGAAUUCAUAUUGUAUUCCUCUAGACCAAAACACCAAAUGUACUUGUCCUCUUGGUUUUGAUUUCAUUAACCCUGGUCAGGAGAAUUUGGGCUGCAAGCGAAAAUCCAGUGUAGAUGAUUGUGUGAGCACUAAUUAUACUAUUCUGGAAUUGGAAAGUAUCACAUGGGAAUCUGACUCAGAUUCUGUUGUCCGAUCUAGCAACAAAACUGAGUGCAG